UACGUAGGGACCGAGCGUUGUCCGGAAUCAUUGGGCGUAAAGAGCGUGUAGGCGGCCACUUAAGUCCUGCGUGAAAUCCUGCGGCUCAACCGCAGGCGGUCGUGGGAAACUGGGUGGCUAGAGUGCGGGAGAGGAGAGUGGAAUUCCUGGUGUAGCGGUGGAAAUGCGCAGAUAUCAGGAAGAACACCCGUGGCGAAGGCGGCUCUCUGGAACGCAACUGACGCUGAGACGCGAAAGCGUGGGGAGCAAACAGG
rnacentral:rRNA from 1 species